AGUGAACGCUGGCGGUAGGCCUAACACAUGCAAGUCGAACGGCAGCACAGUAAGAGCUUGCUCUUACGGGUGGCGAGUGGCGGACGGGUGAGGAAUACAUCGGAAUCUACUUUUUCGUGGGGGAUAACGUAGGGAAACUUACGCUAAUACCGCAUACGACCUACGGGUGAAAGCAGGGGAUCUUCGGACCUUGCGCGAUUGAAUGAGCCGAUGUCGGAUUAGCUAGUUGGCGGGGUAAAGGCCCACCAAGGCGACGAUCCGUAGCUGGUCUGAGAGGAUGAUCAGCCCCACUGGAACUGAGACACGGUCCAGACUCCUACGGGAGGCCGCCGUGGGGAAUAUUCGACAAUGGGCGCAAGCCUGAUCCAGCCAUACCGCGUGGGUGAAGAAGGCCUUCGGGUUGUAAAGCCCUUUUGUUGGGAAAGAAAAGCAGCAGGUUAAUACCCCGCUGUUCUGACGGUACCCAAAGAAUAAGCACCGGCUAACUUCGUG
rnacentral:rRNA from 1 species